UACGAAGGGGGCUAGCGUUGCUCGGAAUCACUGGGCGUAAAGCGCACGUAGGCGGCUUCUUAAGUCAGGGGUGAAAUCCUGGAGCUCAACUCCAGAACUGCCUUUGAUACUGGCGAUCUUGAGUCCGGGAGAGGUGAGUGGAACUGCGAGUGUAGAGGUGAAAUUCGUAGAUAUUCGCAAGAACACCAGUGGCGAAGGCGGCUCACUGGCCCGGUACUGACGCUGAGGUGCGAAAGCGUGGGGAGCAAACAGG
rnacentral:rRNA from 1 species